AAUUACAGAGGCCCCUCAUGGGGGGUCCUAGUAAUCACAUAAUCACCAUUUUUUUGCCAAUAUAAUCACAUAAUCAUUAAAUAUUUGCUUAUCUUUAGUAAUCAAAUAAUCAUAAACUAAAAAUACAGUCCUAGGUAAUCAAAUAAUCAUGAAAUAUUUGGCUUAAUAAUCAAAUAAUCAUUAAAAAAACGGCCAAGUAAUCACAUAAUCAAAAACCCCAUGAGGGCCCUCAUUACAGAUUUA
rnacentral:lncRNA from 1 species